rnacentral:SRP_RNA from 1 species
GCCAGGUGUGGUGGCAUGCGCCUGUAGUCCCAGCUACUCAGGAGGCUGAGGUGGGAGGAUCGCUUGAGCCCAGGAGGUUGAGGCUGCAGUGAGCCAUGAUUGUGCCACUGCACUCCAGCCUGGGCUACAGAGUGAGACCCUGUCUCAA